GGCGCAUUCGUCUAGUGGCCUAGGACGCAGGCCUCUCAAGCCUGAAACAGGGGUUCGAUUCCCCUAUGCGCCACCA
rnacentral:tRNA from 1 species